rnacentral:rRNA from 1 species
AUUGAACGCUGGCGGCAUGCCUAACACAUGCAAGUCGAACGAUUGGCGGACGUGUGAGUAACGUCUGGGAAACUGCCCGAUGGAGGGGGAUAACUACUGGAAACGGUAGCUAAUGCCCCAUACCAUCAGAUUUGCCCAGAUGGGAUUGGCUUUUUGGUGGUGUAACGGCUCACCAGGGCGACGAUCCCUAGCUGGUCCGAGAGGAUGACCGGCCAAACUGGAACUGAGACACGGCCCAGAUGCUUACGGGAGGAGGAAUAGGGGAAUAUUGGAAAAGGGGCGAAAGCCUGAUGAAGCCAUGCCGCGUGUAUGAAGAAGGCUUUCGGGUUGUAAAGUACUUUCAGAGGGGAGGCGUUACCCAAAGAAGAAGCACCGGCUAACUCCGUGCCAGCAGCCGCGGUAAUUC